rnacentral:rRNA from 1 species
GAUGAACGCUAGAUAUAGGUUUAACACAUGCAAGUCGGGGGGUAACAUGAUUAAAGCUUGCUUUAAUUGAUGACGACCGGCGGAUGGGUGAGUAACACGUAUCCAACCUACCGUAUACACGGGGAUAGCCUUUCGAAAGAAAGAUUAAUACCCGGUGGUGUAAUGAAAGCGCAUGCUUUUAUUGCUAAAGAUUUAUUGGUAUAUGAUGGGGAUGCGUUCCAUUAGAUAGUUGGUAGGGUAACGGCCUACCAAGUCAGCGAUGGAUAGGGGUUCUGAGAGGAAGACCCCCCACAUUGGAACUGAGACACGGUCCAAACUCCUACGGGAGGCAGCAGUGAGGAAUCUUGGUCAAUGGGCGCAAUGCCUGAACCAGCCAAGUAGCGUGAAGGAAGACUGCCCUUAGGGUUGUAAACUUCUUUUAUAAGGGAAUAACGAUAGCAACGAGUUGCUAUUUGCAUGUAC